GUUUCUGACGGAAGUUCGUCUGCUACGCUGGUCGAGAUGGAGAAGGGUUGCUCUAGUCAUUACUGGGUAUUUUAUUCCGAAAUUGUUCGUCAAAAAGAUUAUGGAGUCUGAGCGUUUUCAUGUGUAACGUGCACGUUAUCGCCGACUUGUCAUGAAGAUGCGCCUUGAAGAGGGUCUAUGCAUGUUGAAAGACCAAUGAGAUGAAAAGAGGAAAUCUGGUAACAAGAAUUCCUUGGGCAGUAUGGUGUUUGAGCUGUGAUAGUGUUUUGUGUGAAGUGGUUUUCUAGUUGACAGAUGCCGUAAAGUGGAACUUGUGCAGACUUGCAAAUCAACAUGAUACUUCAGUAUGUUCUUUCCUUCUUGGCAUAUGAUGGUAUUUAUGUAGUGUUGCAUUGUUGUGCCAAACCGUUGAUGUAGUCUGAUGGAUGUUUGUAUCUGAUGCAUUUUGUCGAUCUGUCGUCUCUUGCUACGUGUACCCACGUUGAGACUUGAUCCACUAACCAGGAUUUCUUGGUUAGUUUGAAGUUGGAGCUGGUAACGUUGUCGAAUGGCCAGUACUUCUGAUGCAGCAUUAAUGAUGUGAGUAGUGGUUUUGCAGACUUUCAGUUCAAUAUCAUAUUUCAAUGUGUUACUUGGCCGUUUUGGUGUUUAUACGAAAAAUCGAGAGUACAUUAGUUACGGAAUCCACCAACUGUCAAUAUGCGUCCACCGUCACCACCGGCGUAUCAGCCUCCACCCCAGGUUUACACGGGUGGUGG